rnacentral:rRNA from 1 species
AUAGGGGAGCCGKAGGGAAACCGAGUCUUAAYYGGGCGUUAAGUUGCAGGGUAUAGACCCGAAACCCGGUGAUCUAGCCAUGGGCAGGUUGAAGGUUGGGUAACACUAACUGGAGGACCGAACCGACUAAUGUUGAAAAAUUAGCGGAUGACCUGUGGCUGGGGGUGAAAGGCCAAUCAAACCGGGAGAUAGCUGGUUCUCCCCGAAAGCUAUUUAGGUAGCGCCUCGUGAAUUCAUCUCCGGGGGUAGAGCACUGUUUCGGCUAGGGGGCCAUCCCGGCUUACCAACCCGAUGCAAACUGCGAAUACCGGAGAAUGUUAUCACGGGAGACACACGGCGGGUGCUAACGUCCGUCGUGAAGAGGGAAACAACCCAGACCGCCAGCUAAGGUCCCAAAGUCAUGGUUAAGUGGGAAACGAUGUGGGAAGGCCCAGACAGCCAGGAUGUUGGCUUAGAAGCAGCCAUCAUUUAAAGAAAGCGUAAUAGCUCACUGGUCGAGUCGGCCUGCGCGGAAGAUGUAACGGGGCUAAACCAUGCACCGAAGCUGCGGCAGCGAACGUAUCAC